AGUGAACCACUGAGCUCGCACUGUGGCCAGUCCUGUGGGCCCCUGCUGGAUUCUGCUUCUAUGAGGGAGGCAGCAAGGAGUUGGGACUUCACAGGUGAAAGGACUUGCCAGGGUCUUACUUUGUCGUCCAGGCUGGAGUACAGUGGCAUGAUCAUAGCUCAUUGCAGCCUCCACCUCCCUGGGCUCAGGAGAUCCAUCUCAGCCUCCUGAAUAGCUGGGACCACAGGUUUUGUUAAGGUUUAGCACAAGCUGUGAUGAAUAUCUUCAAGCCUCUGCUUCCUGCUGUGGAAUUGUUGCCAAAGGACACAUUCCCAGAUGGGAUUACUGAGUCAGAGGAAGUGGACAUUGAGUGGCUGUCAACAGACAGGCACUCUCACAGUGCCCAGGUACCACCAGCAAUGUAUACACAUACAGGAAGUGCCGGCUUCCCUGUCGUCUUGUUGCCGUGGCAUGUUGCGGUCUCUAAGACCACCCCGGGUUUGAUGAUUGGCUAGGAGAACUCGCAGGACUCAGCAUACAGUGAUACUCGAGGCUAUGAUGUAUUACGACAACAGGAAAUGAAGCAAAU
rnacentral:lncRNA from 1 species